GGGUUGUGAGGUUAAGCGACUAAGCGUACACGGUGGAUGCCCUGGCAGUCAGAGGCGAUGAAGGGCGUGCUAAUCUGCGAUAAGCGCCGGUAAGGUGAUAUGAACCGUUAUAACCGGCGAUACCCGAAUGGGGAAACCCAGUGUGAUUCGUCACACUAUCAUUAACUGAAUCCAUAGGUUAAUGAGGCGAACCGGGGGAACUGAAACAUCUAAGUACCCCGAGGAAAAGAAAUCAACCGAGAUUCCCCCAGUAGCGGCGAGCGAACGGGGAGGAGCCCAGAGCCUGAAUCAGCAUGUGUGUUAGUGGAAGCGUCUGGAAAGGCGCGCGAUACAGGGUGACAGCCCCGUACACAAAAGCGCAUGUGCUGUGAGCUCGAUGAGUAGGGCGGGACACGUGGUAUCCUGUCUGAAUAUGGGGGGACCAUCCUCCAAGGCUAAAUACUCCUGACUGACCGAUAGUGAACCAGUACCGUGAGGGAAAGGCGAAAAGAACCCCGGCGAGGGGAGUGAAAAAGAACCUGAAACCGUGUACGUACAAGCAGUGGGAGCNNNNNNNNNNNNNNNNNNNNNNNNNNNNNNNNNNNNNNNNNNNNNNNNNNNNGGGCGUUAAGUUGCAGGGUAUAGACCCGAAACCCGGUGAUCUAGCCAUGGGCAGGUUGAAGGUUGGGUAACACUAACUGGAGGACCGAACCGACUAAUGUUGAAAAAUUAGCGGAUGACCUGUGGCUGGGGGUGAAAGGCCAAUCAAACCGGGAGAUAGCUGGUUCUCCCCGAAAGCUAUUUAGGUAGCGCCUCGUGAAUUCAUCUCCGGGGGUAGAGCACUGUUUCGGCUAGGGGGCCAUCCCGGCUUACCAACCCGAUGCAAACUGCGAAUACCGGAGAAUGUUAUCACGGGAGACACACGGCGGGUGCUAACGUCCGUCGUGAAGAGGGAAACAACCCAGACCGCCAGCUAAGGUCCCAAAGUCAUGGUUAAGUGGGAAACGAUGUGGGAAGGCCCAGACAGCCAGGAUGUUGGCUUAGAAGCAGCCAUCAUUUAAAGAAAGCGUAAUAGCUCACUGGUCGAGUCGGCCUGCGCGGAAGAUGUAACGGGGCUAAACCAUGCACCGAAGCUGCGGCAGCGACACUGUGUGUUGUUGGGUAGGGGAGCGUUCUGUAAGCCUGUGAAGGUGUGUCGUGAGGCAUGCUGGAGGUAUCAGAAGUGCGAAUGCUGACAUAAGUAACGAUAAAGCGGGUGAAAAGCCCGCUCGCCGGAAGACCAAGGGUUCCUGUCCAACGUUAAUCGGGGCAGGGUGAGUCGACCCCUAAGGCGAGGCCGAAAGGCGUAGUCGAUGGGAAACGGGUUAAUAUUCCCGUACUUGGUGUUACUGCGAAGGGGGGACGGAGAAGGCUAUGUUGGCCGGGCGACGGUUGUCCCGGUUUAAGCGUGUAGGUGUGUGUUCCAGGUAAAUCCGGUUCACUUUAACACUGAGGCGUGACGACGAGGCACUACGGUGCUGAAGCAACAAAUGCCCUGCUUCCAGGAAAAGCCUCUAAGCAUCAGGUAACAUCAAAUCGUACCCCAAACCGACACAGGUGGUCAGGUAGAGAAUACCAAGGCGCUUGAGAGAACUCGGGUGAAGGAACUAGGCAAAAUGGUGCCGUAACUUCGGGAGAAGGCACGCUGACACGUAGGUGAAGUGAUUUACUCAUGGAGCUGAAGUCAGUCGAAGAUACCAGCUGGCUGCAACUGUUUAUUAAAAACACAGCACUGUGCAAACACGAAAGUGGACGUAUACGGUGUGACGCCUGCCCGGUGCCGGAAGGUUAAUUGAUGGGGUCAGCGCAAGCGAAGCUCCUGAUCGAAGCCCCGGUAAACGGCGGCCGUAACUAUAACGGUCCUAAGGUAGCGAAAUUCCUUGUCGGGUAAGUUCCGACCUGCACGAAUGGCGUAAUGAUGGCCAGGCUGUCUCCACCCGAGACUCAGUGAAAUUGAACUCGCUGUGAAGAUGCAGUGUACCCGCGGCAAGACGGAAAGACCCCGUGAACCUUUACUAUAGCUUGACACUGAACAUUGAGCCUUGAUGUGUAGGAUAGGUGGGAGGCUUUGAAGUGUGGACGCCAGUCUGCAUGGAGCCGACCUUGAAAUACCACCCUUUAAUGUUUGAUGUUCUAACGUGGACCCGUUACCCGGGUUGCGGACAGUGUCUGGUGGGUAGUUUGACUGGGGCGGUCUCCUCCUAAAGAGUAACGGAGGAGCACGAAGGUUGGCUAAUCCUGGUCGGACAUCAGGAGGUUAGUGCAAUGGCAUAAGCCAGCUUGACUGCGAGCGUGACGGCGCGAGCAGGUGCGAAAGCAGGUCAUAGUGAUCCGGUGGUUCUGAAUGGAAGGGCCAUCGCUCAACGGAUAAAAGGUACUCCGGGGAUAACAGGCUGAUACCGCCCAAGAGUUCAUAUCGACGGCGGUGUUUGGCACCUCGAUGUCGGCUCAUCACAUCCUGGGGCUGAAGUAGGUCCCAAGGGUAUGGCUGUUCGCCAUUUAAAGUGGUACGCGAGCUGGGUUUAGAACGUCGUGAGACAGUUCGGUCCCUAUCUGCCGUGGGCGCUGGAGAACUGAGGGGGGCUGCUCCUAGUACGAGAGGACCGGAGUGGACGCAUCACUGGUGUUCGGGUUGUCAUGCCAAUGGCACUGCCCGGUAGCUAAAUGCGGAAGAGAUAAGUGCUGAAAGCAUCUAAGCACGAAACUUGCCCCGAGAUGAGUUCUCCCUGAGACUUAGAGUCUCCUGAAGGAACGUUGAAGACGACGACGUUGAUAGGCCGGGUGUGUAAGCGCAGCGAUGCGUUGAGCUAACCGGUACUAAUGAACCGUGAGGCUUAACCUUACAACGCCGAAG
rnacentral:rRNA from 1 species